rnacentral:rRNA from 1 species
UCCGGUUGAUCCUGCCGGUCCCGACCGCUAUCGGGGUGGGGCUAAGCCAUGGGAGUCGUACGCCCCGCCGCUGCGGGGCGUGGCGGACGGCUGAGUAACACGUGGCUAACCUACCCUCGGGACGGGGAUAACACCGGGAAACUGGUGCUAAUCCCCCAUAGAGGAGGGGGCCUGGAAGGGUCCCUCCUCGAAAAGGUGUGGCGGGGGUUAACGCUGCCGCACCGCCCGAGGAUGGGGCUACGGCCCAUUAGGUAGUUGGCGGGGUAACGGCCCGCCAAGCCGAUAAUGGGUAGGGGCCGUGAGAGCGGGAGCCCCCAGAUGGGCACUGAGACAAGGGCCCAGGCCCUACGGGGCGCACCAGGCGCGAAACCUCCGCAAUGCGGGAAACCGUGACGGGGCCACCCCGAGUGCCCCCUUACGGGGGCUUUUCCCCGCUGUAGGAAGGCGGGGGAAUAAGCGGGGGGCAAGUCUGGUGUCAGCCGCCGCGGUAAUACCAGCCCCGCGAGUGGUCGGGACGAUUAUUGGGCCUAAAGCGCCCGUAGCCGGCUCGACAAGUCUCCUCCUAAAUCCUCGGGCUCAACCCGAGGAUUGGAGGAGAUACUGUCGAGCUAGGGGGUGGGAGAGGCCGAGGGUACUCCCGGGGUAGGGGCGAAAUCCUAUAAUCCCGGGAGGACCACCAGUGGCGAAGGCGCUCGGCUGGAACACGCCCGACGGUGAGGGGCGAAAGCCGGGGGAGCGAACCGGAUUAGAUACCCGGGUAGUCCCGGCUGUAAACGAUGCGGGCUAGGUGUUGGGUGGGCCUAGAGCCCACCCAGUGCCGCAGGGAAGCCGUUAAGCCCGCCGCCUGGGGAGUACGGCCGCAAGGCUGAAACUCAAAGGAAUUGGCGGGGGAGCACCACAAGGGGUGGAGCCUGCGGUUCAAUUGGAGUCAACGCCGGG